rnacentral:rRNA from 1 species
AUGGAACGCUGGCGGCAUGCUUUACACAUGCAAGUCGAACGGCAGCGCGGGCUUCGGCCUGGCGGCGAGUGGCGAACGGGUGAGUAAUAUAUCGGAACGUACCCAGGAGUGGGGGAUAACGUAGCGCAAGUUACGCUAAUACCGCAUACGUCCUACGGGAUAAAGCGGGGGAUCGCAAGACCUCGCGCACCGGGAGCGGCCGAUAUCUGAUUAGCCAGUUGGUGGGGUAACGGCUCACCAAGGCAACGAUCAGUAGCUGGUCUGAGAGGACGACCAGCCACACUGGGACUGAGACACGGCCGAGACUCCUACGGGAGGCAGCAGUGGGGAAUUUUGGACAAUGGGGGCAACCCUGAUCCAGCAAUGCCGCGUGAGUGAAGAAGGCCUUCGGGUUGUAAAGCUCUUUUGUCAGGGAAGAAACGGUUUUGGCUAAUAUCCGAGACUAAUGACGGUACCUGAAGAAUAAGCACCGGCUAACUACGUGCCAGCCGCCGCCGUAAGAC